UACGAACCGUGCGAACGUUAUUCGGAAUCACUGGGCUUAAAGCGCGUGGUAGGCGGGACGGCACGUCGGUCGCUGAAAUCCCCCGGCUCAACCGGGGAAUGGCUGGAAUCAUACGUGGCGGUCUUGAGCGAUCUAGGGGCAGAUGGAACAGACGGUGGAGGCGGUGAAAUGCGCAGAUAUCAGGAGGAACACCGGUGGCGAAGGCAGCUCGCUGGGACGGUACUGACGCUGAGACGCGAAAGCGUGGGGAGCAA
rnacentral:rRNA from 1 species